UGAUCUCUCGUAUGGAUGCA
rnacentral:siRNA from 1 species